rnacentral:lncRNA from 12 species
UCUUUCUCGCCAGUGUCCCUGCCACGGGCCAUCUCCUCGCCUGCUGGCCCUAAGGCCUGGAGGGCCUGUCGCCUCAGCCUGCCUGCACCCUAUCUGCCUCCUGUCCCCUCUCCUGCCGCCCACCUGAUGCACCCCUGUGGGCCCAGCUGCAGCUGAUUGACGUCCAGGGAGACGGAGGUCAGGGCGAGUCCCAGUGCUGCAGCCCCAACUGGAAUCAAGCAGGGACGUGGAGUCAAGCUGCAGUCUAAGGGUGCACUGUGACAAACCUCCAUGGCAGAAGCCUAGGGUGCAGGAAGAGGUCGGGCUCAAAAUCCAGGUCAGGUUGCAAACUGUUGCCCCUCUGAACUCAGCCUCGAGGUGCUCUAGGCCAGACUCAGAGUUUGAAACAGAGUGUGAGAGCAGGUCUCUAACCUAGACUUUGGAAACCCACCAUCCAUUGUGUGUGUGGGUGCCUCGGGAUCAGGACGCUGAGCAUGUGAGGCACACACCUGGAUCUAAAGAUCCCUGAGCACGAAGGAUCAGAGCAGAGUCUGAAGAUCUCCAUGCACCCAGGAUCACACCCAGGUCGGAAGAUCCCCACACUCACAGACAAGAUCACACCCAGGACAUGAAAUGCUAAAUAAAUCCCUAAGUAAAUCGUGAUCAGUACAGUGAUGAGCCCCUGCAGAACCACCAUGGCACCGGGCGAACAGCCACAGUUCCUUGGGGUCCCACAGACCUGGGUUUGAGUCUCAGCUGUGCUACCUGUUGGCCGUGCAAUCCGGGACCAGGAGCUAACGACACGGAACCUUGAUUUUCCUCUUCUGUGAAACAGGAGCAGUAAACCGUG